UGAUUUUCUUUAUAAUCCAAAAUCGUACACCCAAUAUGAACCUAAAUGCCGCAAGUGAUCACAAUUCACAAAUUGCUAACCACUUUUCAGAAGCACAUAUAUAGCGGAUCAGAGGAGCCACGGAUCUUCUUCUUUCAGGGUGGUUACCUAGAAGAUCACAAAACAAACGAUCAAGCAAAGAAUGGAGAAGAAGACGGACACAUGAGAGCCAAUGGCAUUAGUAUAAGCUGCAGAGAAAGCAUUGCAGUUGAGAGGCAAUAAUCAUAACUCACUCACUAAAUCAAACAGCUGCAAAAUCAGGAUCCGAGUAUUUCCUCAGCCAUGCUUAUCAUGGUUUGGAGGUAAACAGCGAUAAUACGCAUGAGCCUCAUACAGUUGGGAGAAGUGGGAAGGCGUCUGGAUACAAGCAUGAGUAACAACAACUCCAAAAACUUCACUAUCACAAAGAAAAAUUCCUGCUACGCCAGAAACUGACUUUUUUGUUUUAUUGGCUUAGUG